GUCACCUUUGGAAACCAUACGUUUUUCAAAGUCUGUGAGUUAGUAUCUGUUCUACAAAGAAGUUCAUUCUGUCCUUUUUUCAGAUUCCACAUGUCAGUGAAAGCAUUCGAUGUUGGUGUCUCACUGUCUGAACUGACUUUCACUUAGCAUGAUAAUUUCUAGGUCCAUCCAUGUUGCUAAAAAUGCCAGUAUUUCUUUCCUUAUAAUGGCUGAGUAAUAUUCCAUUGUGUAUAUGUACCACAUCUUCCUGAUCCACUCCUCUGUUGAUGAACAUUUAGGUGGUUUCCAUGUCUUGGCUAUUGCAAAUAGUGCUGCAAUGAACAUCAGAGUACAUGUGUCUUUGUGAAUCAUGGUUUUCUCUGGAUAGAUGCCCAGGAGUGGGAUUUCUGGAUCAAAUGAUAGUUCUAUUUUUAGUUUUCUGAGGAAUCUCCAUACUGUUUUCCACAGUAGUUGUACCAAUUUACAAUCCCACUAACAGUGUAAUAGGGUUCCUUUUUCUCCACACCCUCUCCAGCACUUAUUGUUUGUAGACUUUUUGAUGGCAGCCAUUCUGGCUGGUGUAAGCUGAUACCUCAUAGUGGUUUUGAUUUGCAUUUCUCUAAUGAUGAGUGAUGUUGAACAUCUUUUCAUGUAUUUUUUUCAUUUGUCUUCUUUGGAGAAUUGUCUGUUUAGAUCUUCUGCCCAUUUUUUGAUGGGGUUGUUUGUUUUUUUUGGUAUUGAGCUGCAGAAGGUGUUUAUAAAUUUUGGAGAUUAAUCCCAUGUCAGUUGAUUCAUUUACAAAGAUUUUCUCAUAUUAAUGAUGGCCGUUCUGACAGGGGUGAGGUGGUACCACAGUAAUCAAGACAGUGUGGUACUGGUACAAAAUUAGACAUACAGAUCAAUGGAACAAAAUAGAGAACCCAGAAAAAAAAAACCCAGAUGCCUAUGGUCAAUUAAUCUUCAACAAAGGAGGCAAGUAUAUAAAAUGUGAAAAAGUGUUUUCAGCAAGUGGUGCUGGGAAAACUGGACAGAUGUAUGUAAGUCAUUGAAACUGGAACACACCCUCACACCAUGCACAAAAAUAAACUCAAAAUGACUUGAGGACUUAAAUGUAAG
rnacentral:lncRNA from 1 species